CGGGUCGGCCAGACGAUCGCGCGGCCCACGCUUCGUGGGUCUCGAGGAAAGUCCGGGCUCCGCAGGGCAGGAUGGUGGAUAACGUCCACUCGGGGCAACCCGCAGGCCAGUGCCACAGAGAACAGACCACCCGCCGUGCCGCGUGCAGCGGUCACGGCGGGCCAGGGUGAAAAGGCGGUGUAAGAGACCACCGGGCGCCUGGUGACAGGUGCCGCAGGGUAAACCCCAUCCGGAGCAAGGCCAGACAGGAUGCGUUCGAGGGCUGCCCGCCCGAGCAUCCGGGUAGGCCGCUCGAGCCGCGGAGCGAUCCGCGGCCUAGAUGGAUGAUCGUCGCCGUGCGGCGGGUGACCGCCGCGCGGAACAGAACCCGGCUCAUCGGCCGACCCGUCCA
rfam:Kocuria kristinae strain RTTW2-3 contig00010, whole genome shotgun sequence.